rnacentral:rRNA from 1 species
UACGGAGGGGGCAAGCGGUGUUCGGAAUUACUGGGCGUAAAGGGCGCGCAGGCGGCUGCUCAAAUCAGGCGUGAAAGGCCUGGGCUCAACCCGGGAAUUGCGCUUGAGACUGGGCUGGCUUGAGUGCGGGAGAGGAUGGUGGAAUUCCCAGUGUAGAGGUGAAAUUCGUAGAUAUUGGGAAGAACACCCGUAGCGAAGGCGGCACUCUGGGCCAUUACUGACGCUGAGGAGCGAAAGCGUGGGGAGCGAACAGG